CCUCNAGACNNGGGAUAACCCCGGGAAACUGGGAANAAUACCCGAUANACGUGAGAUGAUGGAAGGCUCCCACGUCCNANCCCUGCGGGGCUCGAGGAUGGGUCUGCGGCCUAUCAGGUUGUAGGGGGUUUCACGGACCCCCUAGCCGUAGACGGGUACGGGCUUUGGGAGAAGUCGCCCGGGGAUGGAUUCUGAGACACGAAUCCAGGACCUACGGGUCGCAGCAGGCGCGAAACCUCCACAUAUGUGGGAAACCACGAUGGGGGAACUCCAAGNNGCUUACACUAAGUGGUAAGCGUCUGUCUCGACCCUAAAAAACUCGAGAAGUAAGGGCCGGNUUAAGACCGGUGCCAGCCGCCGCGGUAAUACCCGCAGCCCGAGUGGUGCUCAUUAUUAUUGAGCCUAAAACGUCCCGCUACCUGGCCGGGCAAAUCUUCCUGGGUUAAAUCCGGGCCGGGCUCAACCGGUCCNAACUCCCGAAGACCACUGCUUCGGCUU
rnacentral:rRNA from 1 species